UACGAAGGGGGCUAGCGUUGCUCGGAAUCACUGGGCGUAAAGCGCACGUAGGCGGCUUCUUAAGUCAGGGGUGAAAUCCUGGAGCUCAACUCCAGAACUGCCUUCGAUACUGGCGAUCUAGAGUCCGGAAGAGGUGAGUGGAACUCCUAGUGUAGAGGUGGAAUUCGUAGAUAUUAGGAAGAACACCAGUGGCGAAGGCGGCUCACUGGUCCGGUACUGACGCUGAUGUGCGAAAGCGUGGGGGAGCAAACAGG
rnacentral:rRNA from 1 species